rnacentral:rRNA from 1 species
CGCUUACGGGACGCAGCAGUGGGGAAUAUUGCGCAAUGGGGGGAACCCUGAUGCAGCGACGCCGCGUGAGUGAAGAAGUAUUUCGGUAUGUAAAGCUCUAUCAGCAGGGAAGAAAAUGACGGUACCUGACUAAGAAGCCCCGGCUAACUACGUGCCAGCAGCCGCGGUAAAACGUAGGGGGCGAGCAUUGUCCGGAAUGACUGGGCGUAAAGGGUGCGUAGGCGGCAUAAUAAGUUAGAAGUGAAAUACCCAGAGCUUAACUCGGGUGCUGCUUCUAAGACUGUUGAGCUUGAGUGCGGGAGAGG